CGGGGUGUAGUAUAGUGGUAGUACAUACGCAUGGGGUGCGUAUAGCCUCGGUUCGAUUCCGAGCACCCCGA
rnacentral:tRNA from 1 species